GCCAGCCAGAAGUCCCAUUCCUGCGCCCCUCUCUCUUGCAAGAGACGACGUCUCUUGGCAUGAGAAGACAAACCUCAGAUAUUGCCCCAGACAAUGAUGCUGCUUCAGAAGUGGGGCCAAGUUGGGAGGCCAAAAUGAAGCCAAGUUGAGAGCUAUGGACCAUCUGUUUGAGGAUCUCCCUCCACUCUGCAGGGUUGAGGCUGCCUGGCUGGGGUCCACAUUUCCAAGUCCCCUUUGCGUCUCAGAGAAAGCAGUGACCGGGUUCUGAACUAUGGAAUGAAGGGUCCUGCUCCCAGCUGUGCAAGCUGCAAGGAAGAACGAGCCCCCUCCUCCAAGGCCUCGACGGUCCACUCAGUCACCCACUUAAGAAUUCACCAAAUAAGUAAUGACUAAGUCUGACUGGGAGAAAAUGAAAGCUCUCUUGGAGGGGAAAACAAGUUACUCAUGCAACCAAGAGCAUAUCCUUGGCACCCUCCAUGAGUGGAGCCACGGCAGGAGGGGCAGACAGGAACAAACGGUGGCCAUGAAUCAUGCUGUGUGCGAGCUCCUUUGUUUCUAAGGCAUGUGGUUUCCAGAGAAACCAGGGAACACUGCCUUCAGGGAAGAACCUGGCCCCGGGAAGGCAGCCCAGAAGACCAGGAUGUCAGCCCCUAGAGAUGAUAAGCUAGGCUGGAGCAGAGAGGGGAAGCCUCUCUGAAGACCAGUCACGUAAGCCAGAGAUGGUCAGAGACUGGGAGGCUCUGGGCCUGUGGGAAGAGGCUGCAAGCCAGCCCAGGACUCUUGGCAGGUUUCCUGGCAGGCUGAGAAGCACGCCAUCUGGAAGGAGAGACAGCCCCCAGCCACCAGGGGCCUUGGGUACCGGCACAGGAGGCAGGGAAGAGACCAGCCUACUGCCAUGUGAAGGAGGGCACCCUUUCUCUGCAUGGAGAUGUCUGGAGAUGGUGCCUGGGAGCUAGGGAUGGUCAGAGAUUUGGGGAAAGAGAGGGCUUCUGCCACAUCCAGGAGGGUUAGCUCACAGCCCACUUUAAACUCCAGCCCAGAAACUCUCUGGAGUUGUCUCCGUCUUAGGCCCAGCCAGCAACACAGAUCUGCAUGGGGGAUUUUAUCAUGGGGUGUCAUCUUUCUCAAAGAGCUCAACUCCAGGGCCUUCUGGGUUUCUAGGACUAUUUAGAGAGGACCCCUUCCCUCCUCUGAACGUGUUUGUCCAGCCUCAAAACCUCCGCAUGGAGCUAAAGGCUGGGGCUUCCAUUCAGGGUUCCCCACCCCUCUCCUCUGCUCCAGCCCUCUCCUCCCUCCUGUCACCUGGCCUCUGCUUUCAUUCCCUUCCUCAGCCCAUUCUAAUCUGCAGGCUCUCCUAAGCCAAGUUUGGUUUCUCAUUCCAAGUAUACCCUAACUCCCUAAGCAACAGUAAAGAUAUGCCCAUCUGCUCUCAGUUACCUGUGCCGAGAUGGGAGGCAGUAGUCAGGACUCACACCAAAACCAUAGGCCUUGCUCUCUGGAAUGUGUUGGCAAUGGUUUUAUAAUCUCCAUUCACAGCUGCCUUUGUUAGGUCACUAUUAAAAUGAACUUCAUUCUGCGAGCACGGCCCUGGUAUGAGGUCUAGUUUUCCUGGGGAGGAACAAAUAGCACCAACAGACCCAGGAUCCAGUUGGAUGCAGAAAUUGUCUCUUGAAAGUGAGCAGUAUACUCAGACCAUCUGCUGAGAAGAGAGGUGAGAAAAUAAAUCCCCUUGGACUUAGACACAAGAAAGAGCAGCGAACAUGUUUGGAGCAGACGGCUCGGGAUCUCAGUCACAUGGCAGCUUCCCUCAGCUGAGUGCACAGAGCCUGCUAACUCGUGUCAUAGAAUGAACCCAGUAGUAUCUGCACCCUGGGUCACCCCCUACCUCGGGCCCCCACCUGUCACAUCUGGGUCUCCGCCCCAGCCUCUCUGCUCCCUGUCUCACCUUCAAUUCAGUCUCUGUUCCACUCUCACGGUGAGCAUUCCAAAAGGCAGAUCCCACCUUUCCAGGGUACCUUUCUAAGGCUCUAGUUUCUUCCAGAUAAGAUAUAAACUCUCCAGUCAUCUGGUGCCAGGGCCCCUCAGGCAUUCCCUCCAGCCAUUCUGAAGAAAGUUCAUCCCCCCAAACACUCAUCCCUGUCCACACUGCUCCUUCCCUGCCCCCUGCCUGGCUAAUUCCUUCUCACCCUUUCAGAUUCCCCAGGCAACCUUCCCUCCCCGCUCUUGAGUUUAGGCUCACUUCCACCCCUCAGGACUCACUGAAAGCCCCACGAGGGCCACUUCAUAGCUCUCACACUCUCUUCAUCUGCCUCUCCCUCUGCAGGGUGAGCUCCAUGAGGGCAGGGGCUGUGUCCUGUUCUCAGCUGAUCUCCAGAAUCCGAGUCCCCAGAAUCCAGUGUAGGAACUCCUGGGAAAAGCUCAAUAGUUCAUUUGCUUUCUUAUCCUCAUCACCAAAGCACGCAGAAGACUCACUGGGCCAAAGUAACCAUAGCAGCCCAUGGGAGAGUUGGUACAGCAAGUGCUUAAGCUGUGGGGCUCUAGACCCUGGGCUUGAAGCCUGACCCUGCUGCCCUUCAGCCACGUGACUGUGGCCAAGUUACUUAAGCCAAUAUUAGUACCUACUACAAUGGGUUGGUAAUGCAUGGAUUAAGUGAAUUAAUGUAUGUAAAUUGCUGAGAACAGGGUCUGACACACAGGAAGUGCCAUGCACGUGUUUGCUAAUAUUGUUAGCAGGAUGCUAACCCUUUGAGGGCAGGGACUGUGCUCUUCAUUCCCAGAUGUACACACAGUUCCUAGCAUAUAGUAGCAAAAUUGUCUACUGGAAAGCUUGGGAGGGAAACAAAAUUGGAUUCAUAUCCUGGCUGUGUGCUAUUGGGUAGGCUACGUGUUAACAGUGAAGCUGUCUCAUUAUCUGAAAAGCGUGCAGGUUGAUGUGAGGUUGAUAUGGUUUAAAUAUUUGUCCCCUCCAAAUUUCAUGUUGAAAUGUAAUCCUUAAUGUUAGAUGGGGCCUGGGGGGAGGUAUCAUGGCCUUUGGGUCAUGGGGGCAGAUCCCCCAUGAGUGGCUCCAUGCUGUCCCCAUGAUAAUGAGUGAGUUCUUGGUCUGAGUUCACAUGAGAUCUAGUUGUAUUAGUCCGUUUUCACACUGCUCUAAAGAUACUACCUGAGACUGGAUAAUUUAUAAGGAAAAGAGGUUUAAUUGACUCACAGUUCCACAUGGCUGGGAAGGCCUCAGGAAACUUACAAUCAUGGCAGAAGGGGAAGGAGAAACAAGCACCUUCUUCACAAGGCGGCGGGGGGUGGAAUGCCAAACACUUUAAAACGAUCAGAUCUCCUGAGAACUCACUCACUAUCACAAGAACGGCAUGGGGGAAAUUGCCCCCAUGAUCCAAUCACCUCCCGUCAGGUCCCUCCCUCAACACAUGGGGGUAACAAUUCAGAUUACAGUUCGAGAUGAGAUUUGGGUGGGGACACAGCCAAACCAUGUCACUGGUUGUUUAAAAGUGUGUGUGUGGCAUGUUGCCCCCACUUCUUGCACCCUCUCUCACCAUGUGAUGUGCCUUCUCCCACUUCCUCUUCUGCUAUGAGUAAAAGCUCCCUGAGGCCUCACCAGAAGCUGAGCAGAUGCUGGCACCAUGCUCCCUGUACAGCCUGCAGAACCAUGAGCCAAUUAAAUUUCUUUUCUUUAUAAAUUACUCAGCCUCAGGUAUUCCUUUAUAGCGACACAAAAUGGACUAAUGUAGAGGUUUAGAAUGCUGUUUGUAAAGCCCUAAUUAGCACAGUGCCUGGCCCCUAGUGAACACUGGAUAAAUGGUGGCUGUAAUCUUCAUUAGUAUUGCAGAAUGAAUGAGGUGACAGUGAGCAGCAGACCUCUGGGGCUGGAUUUACUGAUUACAUGAGUAAAUCUUCAGGAAAACUGCACUCCCAUGGGCAGGUCCAACUACAUAAAAUUUGGAGACUGGUACAAAAUGAAAAUGUGGGACCCUGUUGUCUAAAAACUAUUCAGAAUCCCAAGUCAGCAACACCAGAGCAUUAAACCAAGCCCAGAGCUUCCUCUGUUCACAGGUCAUGAACUCAUGAGGUCAGCCUGCCCGUGGGACCUUCCCAGCAAUAGUUUCAGUGGGAUAGGCUGAGGCCCUCUCAUUUUGCAGGCCAGAGUCCCAGCCCAGAGCAUUCAGGUGUCUCACAUCACUUUUCUUCUGGCUCACUCAGCAGGGUGAGGCUAGGAACUCUUGGUGCCAAGUCUAGUGUCCCAGUGUCCCCAGUGACUAUCAGUCCCCAGUGGCAGCCCCAGCACUCCCUCCUGCUUGGCUGAGAACCCAGAUCACAGAAAGGGGAUGAUUUAUCUUUAAGUUUGGAUUUAAAAUUUUAAAUGGUACUGAAGUCAAUCGAAUGACUGGCCCCAAAUCUGUACUCCCCUCUUACAGUAUUAGCCAUCCAUGCUUGGCAUGGCUUUAGGGUGAGCAGGGUGCACCUUACCACAUCUUGCCUCUUGGCUUGCCUGUGUUACUUACUUAGGCCAAUGGGAGUGGUUGGGCUUGCCAUCUUGUAUGCCUGUCUUUCACCAUGGAAAGAACAUGCCCUGGGUGUCCACCACCACAAAGAGGAUGAGAGAUGCAUGGACUUGUACCCAACCCACAGUCUACACUCAAGCCCAGCUAAACUGGAGCAGCCGAACCCAGCCAACCUGCAGACAGAGGAGUCAGAAAUAAAUGCUUUAUUGUUUUAGGUUGCUAAGUUUUCAGUAGUUUGUUAAGCAAAAUUACUAUGGCAAUAGCUGGCUGAUAAGUGUCUUAUAACCCAAAGGAUCUAUGACUCACUGGGUGCAGUGGCUCACACCUGUAAUCUCAGCACUUUGGGAGGCUGAGGCAGGAGGAUCGCGUGAACUCAGAAGUUCGCGACCAGCCUGGGCAACAUGGUGAGAUCCCAUCUCUACAAAAAAUAAAAAAGCCAAGUGUGAUGAUGCGCACUGGUAUCCCAGGUACUCAGGUGGCUGAGGCAGGAGGAUUGCUUGAGCCCAGGAGGUCAAGGCCGUGGUGAGCCAUGAUUGCACCACUGCUCUCUAGCCUGGGGGAAAGAGAAAGGCCCUGUCUCAAAAACCAACAACAACAAACUAUGACUCAAUUGACUCCCUCUGAAGCUAAGGAGACUUUUUGUCUCAUAUGCAUUUUCAUGGCUUUUCUGGAGACACCCUAAAGCUGGAGGUCUCAUGCCAUCAGAUCCCUUGAUGUAAAUGAAAGCAUAUCCAUUGGAUUUAUUCUUCACUCUUUCCCCAGCCUCUUAGGCAUCAGCAAUUACUCCAGCUCCCUGCAGCUGAGAUCUGUUUGCCCCUCCAGGGGACCCCCUUGGACAGGACCUAAGAUGAAACCACACUGACCUUCUCUCACACAGAGCCCAAGGUUCCACAUCAUUUGACCUGGCGGACCCCUGGAGUACAGGCCGAUCCCGGUGCAGCAAAAACUUGUGCUUCAAGGAGACUCAGACCCUGGUCAAAUGUGUCCCCCAAACUGCAGGGAAACCAUAUUGAACUUUCCGGAUGAUCUGUUUCAAAUUUUUCCAUCUUGACUUGAGGAGAAGAAGGAUGUACUUCCCAUGCCUUAUCAUAUAGGAAAAUAGAACC
rnacentral:lncRNA from 10 species